AUUGAACGCUGGCGGCAUGCCUUACACAUGCAAGUCGAACGGCAGCAUGAUCUAGCUUGCUAGAUUGAUGGCGAGUGGCGAACGGGUGAGUAAUACAUCGGAACGUGCCCUGUAGUGGGGGAUAACUAGUCGAAAGAUUAGCUAAUACCGCAUACGACCUGAGGGUGAAAGUGGGGGACCGCAAGGCCUCAUGCUAUAGGAGCGGCCGAUGUCUGAUUAGCUAGUUGGUGAGGUAAAGGCUCACCAAGGCGACGAUCAGUAGCUGGUCUGAGAGGACGAUCAGCCUCACUGGGACUGAGACACGGCCCAGACUCCUACGGGAGGCAGCAGUGGGGAAUUUUGGACAAUGGGGGCAACCCUGAUCCAGCAAUGCCGCGUGUGUGAAGAAGGCCUUCGGGUUGUAAAGCACUUUUGUCCGGAAAGAAAUCGCACUUACUAGUAUUAGGUGUGGAUGACGGUACCGGAAGAAUAAGGACCGGCUAACUACGUGCCAGCCGCCGCGUAAAAC
rnacentral:rRNA from 1 species